rnacentral:rRNA from 1 species
GACGAACGCUGGCGGCGUGCUUAACACAUGCAAGUCGAACGGGCCCGCCCCUGUUUUUGGGGGUGGGUUGAGUGGCGAACGGGUGAGUAUCACGUGAGUAACCUGCCCCCUGCUCCUGGAUAACUGCUUGAAAGGGCGGCUAAUACGGGGUGUGCCGGCUGGUCCGCAUGGGCCUGGUCGGGAUAGUUUCAUCUUCGGGUGUUUCGGUGGGGGAUGGGCUCGCGGCCUAUCAGCUUGUUGGUGGGGUGAUGGCCCACCAAGGCGGUGACGGGUAGCCGGCCUGAGAGGGUGGGCGGCCACACUGGGACUGAGACACGGCCCAGACUCCGGCGGGAGGCAGCAGUGGGGGGUAUUGCACAAUGGGCGGAAGCCUGAGGCAGCGACGUCGCGUGAGGGAUGGAGGCCGUCGGGUUGGGAACCUCUUUCUCCGGUGGUGAAGGCCCUGUCCGUUGCGGCGGGGUUGACGGUAGCCGGGGAUGAAGCGCCGGCUAACUACGUG